UUUCUUCUCUUUCGCCAUUUUGAUGACAAUUUAUCAUCACAAUGUCAACGUUGAUUCAAUCGAUUAACUUGAUUUUUUUUCUCUCCACAUAAAUUGUUGUCUAUUUGAUCUUUUUCUUUGAUUCAAUUUAUCGUGUUUAUCAUCAGACAACAUGAUCCAUGGGAAUAUCUUCACAAUCAUCAUCAUCAUCUCUCUUUUGCCAUUGAUUAUUCCAUGAGCUGAAUAAUACCCAUACAUUUACAUGGAGAAAAAUACUGAGAAUAACCAGAGAAUCAAUGGAAAUAUCAUCAUCAUCAUCAUCAUCGUCAUCAUCUCUUAACAUUAUCGGUUGAAUGUCUUGUGUAUUUACUUUUUUACAUUGACUUUUUUUCUAUGGAUUUUGGAUAAAUGAUGAUGUUGGUUUUCAAUUCUUUUUCCCAUUGAUAUUGAUGUUACACUUUUUGUCUCCAUGUUUACAAAUGAACAUGAAAGGCCAAGGACAAAUCUAAUAAACAAUAAUGAUUAUUAUCAUUCUAAUUCCAUAGGAUAAAAAGAGAGACAAGAUAAAGCCAAAGGGAGGAUGAAGAUUAGUACAGGAACAUCAUCAAUGUUUAACUAACAAUAUUAUCAAUCGUCUUUUUGGUUAAACAAAGUUAGACAAACAGAUCGGUGGAAAAAUGGAGAUGAUGAAGACAAAGAGAAAGAUAAAUGAUGAUGAUAAAGACACAGAACAUGUGAAAUCAUCUAAAGUUAAAGAUGAAUGUGUAACCAUUACAAUCAAGUUUAACAAUCCAACUCAAAAGAGAUGAGAGAAAAACAUACAAUCCAAAUAAUCAACCAGAUCAAAAGUAAAUCUAAAUACACAAAGAUGAAGGAGUAAUAUUACAAAUCGCUGACCAUUCCCACUGACCAUUGGAAGAGUUGUAAACGUUGAGUGUUUGUGUGUCUUUUUUUUACCCAAGUCCAUCAGUAAUUGUUUACUUAAUUUCAUGUGUGUCCUUUUACCAACCGUUGAUUGCUAUAUUAGCCUUAAUAUCAACCGCAGAGUAAAAAAAAACCAACAAUUGUAACACAAACUCACUGAUGAUAACAAUGAUUACCUGUGUAUUUAUCUCUCUCCCUCUCUAUUAGGGUAUUUACAAAUACAUAGAGUUUUAUUUUAAGCAGAUUUCAAUGGACCCAAAGAGUAAUAGUAAUCUAUGUUAUAUACUAUUGUUACCAAUUUAGUUAAUACUUGACUAUCAUCAGGGUAAUGGAGUUACUGUUAUUGUUGUUGGUUUGGUUGUUAGUUUUAUUAAUAUUGUUCAUGCAAAACUGAUGAUGGUAAAAAAAACGUAGAUCAAUGUGAAAAAAGCUCUUAUAAUUUAUUUUAGUUACUAAAUUGUUACUAUUAUUAUCAUUCUCCAUCCAAAUGGUAAAGGUAUUCAUUAGGAUAUCCUUUUAUUUUUUACUUAACUUUCCCCUUCCUCCAUAGAGUGUCUUGUAUUUGUAAUUCUCUCUCUCUUUCUAUCUUCAUCAUCAUCAAUCCAUUAGGCUAUCUUCUUAUCAUCCUCCUUCGAUUUCACAUAGAAAGUAAAGAAAGAGAGAAAGUUCCUAAUUCUUUGAACUUACAUAGAGAAAAUGUAUUGAUAAACUUUUCUCUUCCAUUCUCAACUCUGUAUUAUAACUUUGGAAGUUUUUCUUUUCUAUCCUCAUCUUCAUCUUCAUCCUCCUCUUUUUCUUUUCAUUCAUUUAUCUAGAUUCCAACAAGAAGCCGUCAAAAAAAUCUAAUAAACCGGAACCUCAUUAAAAGUCCAUCAUUCAUUAACUGAUUGUUGACUUUUUCUACUGCUGAUUUUUUGUUCCUUGGAUAAUCAUGAUCACAAUAAGAGAAACACCAACAACAACAACUUCUUCCCUUCCAAUCAACUUAAUUGUUGAUUUAAUAUCAACUUAAAUGAAAGAAAAUUCAUCAAUCCAACCCAAAGAUUGUCAAAAGGAUAAUUAAAUUACAUAUAAAAUACAUUUGGAUAAGGACAAUUGGCUUCGUGAAGGAAAACAACAAGAAAAAAGCAAAGGAAACAAGGAACAAGGAUAAUUAAUUAAUUGCUGUGGUUGUAAACAAUUAAUCAUCAAAAUGAAUUUAUAUCUAUGCUUUUUGCUUAAUAUGCUUAUCAUCAACCAUCAUCAUCAACAACAACAAACGUUGGUUAAAAAAAAAGAUUAUUUAAUAACAAUUUAACAAGGAAAGUUUAUUAAUAACAAGGAGAAUAAGGUUAUAACAAUUAAGCCUUUAGAAAAAUGCUUUAUCAUGAUAUGGAUUCAUGGGAAAUUGUUGGUUGAAAUUAAUUUCCAAGUCAUCGUCCUCAUCAUUAUCAUCAUCAAUGGGAUACUCACAAUUGAAACUUUAACUGCUCAACACUUUCACACAAGCUUUUAGUUGAUGUUGAUGAUCAUCACAAUAUUAUUAAACAACAACGAUUGUUAUAUUUGCUCCCAUGAACCAAGAAAAUUCAUCUUAAAUAGACGAAUCAGUUAGAUAACAUGAACCCAAGAACAACCAUUGGAAAACCCUAAGGAAGGAAACUAAUGAUAAUAUUAAUAACGAUAAUGAUAAUGGUCGUUGGAUAUUAGCACGUUCAAUGGGAACAACGAGCAGAGAAAGUGUCAAAAGAAAGGAAGAUGAAGAAGAGAGAGAGAAUUGUCAUCCUCUCUCUCUCUCUCUUUCUCUGUCAAAUGUUGACGUUAAUUGAAAGAAAAUAAUUUGACGAUGGAAAAAAUUUUCUCAUAAUUAUUAUUAUUCUGUGGUUACACAGUUUAUCCUAAAUAUUAUGAGAUUUUCAUACAAGAGAUAAGUUUUAACGUGCUAACAAGGAUAUUCCCAGCAUUUAGAUUGUAACAAUCAACAGAUAAUAGGAUACAGCUGAUGUUGUUAAUUAAAUGUUUAAAUGGUUCUCGAAACAAAGCAAAAAGUUAAUACAAAGUUUAUCUUUUGACUUUUUGUUUUGUUUUGUUUUGUUACUUCAUCUUGUUUAGAUUUUUAUUAACUGCAAACUAUUAAUAGUUAAAGAUUGAGAGGGAAAGUACAAUUUAAUUGCUUAAUUGAUUUUAAAUUAUCUCCAUGAUGAAAUUAACUGUUAAUAUACUUUGAUAGACAAUCAAUUUAAUCAUCGUUAAUGUAAACAGUUAACACAGUUGAUUAAAUAUCAACAUGUUUUGAUAUUCCAAUUGAGUUUGUUUAUGGAAAAACAUUGAACCAUUUUUAUUACCUGAAAGAUUAUCAUCUAAAUCAUAACAUUCCCUAAGUAUUUUCAUCUUUUAUCAUCAUUAUCAUCUUCAUCUCUCUUUUAUAUUAUAUCAUACAUACCCAGCUUACCUUAAUCUCCUCGAGUUUUCUGUGGUUAACCAAUAGAUUCAUGGAUAAUCAAAUAAAGAUGAGAAAAGGACAAGUUACCUGACAGAAAACUUUCCUUUUUUCUAUCAUUUCCAUUUUCACUUAAAAUGAUGACCACAAUGACCACGAUUAUGAUGAGAGAAUGAGGAAUACGAUGACCUAAGGUCAACUAUUAUUUGGAUAUCUCUAUGGACUCUCAUUUUCAAUGGGCAUUUACCUGAUAAUAGACAUUGAUGAUUGUCCAGGACACACACAAAGAGAAUGAUAAACUUUCUGGACAUUGGUCAGUUAAUGGAUUCGAUGGUCAAUAUAUGUAUAGAAAUAUGAAGGAAUAGAGUUUGAUUCACUUUGAAAACUAUUCUCUUUAAUCCAGUUACAAAUGGACAGUUAAUUUGUUGACAAUCAAUUUAGGAGAGAAUUGAUUUUUCCACGGUUUUCAUCGAUCAACAAAUCGAAUCAAAUUAAAUUAGAUCAUCAAUUAUCUAUGAAAUUAAUUCAUCAAAUGUAAUCGAAAUAUAAUCAUCAUAAUCAUGAUCAUAUCCCAUGAGUUUCUGUGUGUAUAUUUAAGGUGAAGGGUGGAAACCCAAGGUGUCAAGGAGUUUGAAGAGAAGGAGGAAUAAGAAGAUCCCAUGAAAAAAGUGAUGUUAAUUAAGAGCAAGACUAAUCAAGAAGAUGGAGAAUGAGAGAGAAAAGUAAAGUAAAAGGAUGAAAAUGAUGCUAAUUAACUUUAAAGCUCAACAUUUCUCUUUUCGCAACGAUGAAUUUAUAGAUAUGAAUACGAUUAUUAUUAAGGAAUAAUUAUAAUAUCAAGUAGGAAAAUAAUAUCUUAUUUUAUCACAGUGGGAAUGUCAGUGAAUUAAAUGUAAUAUAUAAAAAAAGAUGAAGAGGAAACCAAAAUGGUGAGAUGUAGAUUGAUAGAUAAUUAUAAAAACAGAGAGCGAGAGAGAGAGAGAGUUACCUUGAUGAGAGAUGAUGAAAAUAAAUGAGGUAAGAGAGAGAUGGAGAAGGUAAAACAUGUUGGUUAACCGAAGAUGAUGCUGAUCUGUUUUUGGAAUGUUCAUCUUUUUAAUCAGGCGAACAUGAUGAUUAUGAUGAUGAUGAUGAUGGAAGAUGAAACUGAGAAGAAGAUAAAGAAGAAAAAAAGUUCUAAGCUCCCUGAGAAAAAGUUGCUUGGCAACUUAAUAGGCGAAUAAGAUAUUCUCACAAAGAUAUUGAAAAGAUUCUGAUGAUCUGAUCAUGUAAAGCAAACACUUGAUGUUCACAUUUACAAUCAAAGAUGAAAAUGAGAGAGGAAAAAAACUAUAAACACCAAAUAGAAACGUAUCAAUAACAUGAUGAUUAAAAGCGACAUGACGAUUAGUUAACAUGAUCAUGAAGAUAAUCAUCACAAUUCAAUUAAAAUUGAAUAAUAAAACGUUUUAAACAUGUAACAUGUUCAAUUGCAACGAUCCAAUUGGAGUAAUAAAUUUCCAAGGGAAUCACAAUCUCUUUGAUCAUCGAAACAUAAACAACAAUUACGAUCCAUGUUUUCCAGUUAAUCGAGUUAAUUGUGACUAUUAAGAGGAAUAAAAAACAACAAAUUGGAGAAAAAUUAAAUUAAAUUGUUGA